UAUGUGAUCGUCUCUCGCAUAUCAAUAAGCGGAGGAAAAGAAACUAACAAGGAUUCCCCUAGUAACGGCGAGUGAAGCGGGAAGAGCUCAAAUUUGAAUCUUAAAGGGUUUCCCUUUACGAAUUGUAGUUUAAAGAAGUGUUUUCUGUUGAGGUUUCGGUAAAAGUUCUUUGGAAUAGGACAUCAUAGAGGGUGAGAAUCCCGUAUUUGACCUUUACUUUCAACUUUGUGAUACACUUUCAAAGAGUCGGAUUGUUUGGGAAUGCAGUCCAAAAUGGGUGGUAAAUUUCAUCUAAAGCUAAAUAUUGGCGAGAGACCGAUAGCGAACAAGUACCGUGAGGGAAAGAUGAAAAGAACUUUGAAAAGAGAGUUAAACAGUACGUGAAAUUGUCAAAAGGGAAGCGUUUGACACCAGUGUCGUUUUUCUGAAAAUCAAUUAAAGAACUGUUUAUGCUAAGCUGUUUAGACUUUAUCAGCUAACUGUUUAGUUUUGAGCUUUUCUUUAAUGCACUUUUCAGUUAACAAGUCAACAUCAAUUUCUUUUGCUGUAAAAAAGCUUGAGGAAGGUGGCUUGAGAUUCGUCUUAAGUGUUUAUAGCCUCUUGCCUAUGCAGUCGGAGAGAUUGAGGUCUGCAGCGUAGACCCUUCGGGGCUAAAUGCAUUUGUGCUAAGUUAUAGCAUUUUAUAGACAACUUGUUGACUAUGAUUUGUCUUGUAGCUUACUCGCUUAUGUUAUUUUACCUACGCUUAGGAUGUUGAGUAGCGACAUACGCAC
rnacentral:rRNA from 1 species